UGAUAUUUAUUAUAUUAUUUUUUAUUUUUGUUUAUUUAAUUCUUUAAUAGAAAUAAUUUUAUUGUAUUUUGUCUUAGUAUAUUUUGUAGAAUGGAUUUUUUUUAUUAUAGUUUAUUAGUAAUGUAAUUGGAUUAUGAAAUAUUUGCUUAAAUUAAAAAAAGUAAAUUUUAUUUAUUGUACCUUUUGUAUCAGGGUUUAUCAAAAUUUUAGUAUUAAUUUACUGUUCUCGAUUUAGGUUGAUUUAUAAACAAAUUAUAGUUAAUGUGUCAUAAUUAUUAAUGAUUUGUUUAUAGAAAUGAAAUGUUAUUCGUUUCCUAAGAUAUCUAGUUUCUUAAGAAAAAAUUUAAUUUUUUAUAUUUAAUGUUUUUAUUUAAUUUUUAAAUUAAAAUUAUUAAAUUAUUUAUUCUUUAGGGGAUAAGCUCUAAAGUGUGUAUCCUAUAAUUUAUGUAAUUUUAAAUAAAACAAUAAGCUUUAAAUCAGCUAUUUUUUGGAUUACGUUUUAGUUCAUUAUUGUUUAUUUUGAUUUUAUAAUUAUUUUAGGUUUUUUAUUAAGAUGAUGAAUUUAAUAAUUAAAUUCUUGAAAUAAUGAUGGAAUUAGUAUAUUUAUUUUGUUUAUAAUAUUUUUGUUUGUUAAUUUAUUAUAAGGAACUAGGCAAAUUGAUUUCCGCCUGUUUAUCAAAAACAUGUCCUCUUGAUAAUAUUUUGAGGUCUGGCCUGCUCACUGAUUAUUUUUAAAGAGCCGCGGUAUUUUGACCGUGCAAAGGUAGCAUAAUAAUUAGUCUCUUAAUUAGAGGCUGGAAUGAAUGGCUUGACGAGAAAUCUACUGUCUCUUAGUAAAUUUUAGAAUUUAACUUUUGAGUCAAAAGGCUUAAAUUUUCCUUUAGGACGAGAAGACCCUAUAGAGCUUAACAUUUUAUUUAUAUAUAUUUUUUAGAUGAUCUUUUUAUAUUUAAUGAUAAUGUUUUGUUGGGGUGACAUGAAGAAUUAAUAAACUCUUCAUUAUUAAAUCAUUGAUUUAUGUUUGUUUUGAUCCAUAAUUUAUGAUCAUAAGAUUAAGUUACCUUAGGGAUAACAGCGUAAUUGUUUUUGAGAGCUCAUAUCGACAAAGCAGAUUGCGACCUCGAUGUUGGAUUAAGAAAAGUUUUGGGUGCAGUAGCCCAAUAAUUAGGUCUGUUCGACCUUUAAAUUCUUACAUGAUCUGAGUUCAGACCGGCGUGAGCCAGGUCGGUUUCUAUCCUAAGAUAAAAAAUUCAUAUUAGUACGAAAGGACCAUAUGGGUGAAAUAUUUUUUAUUUGAUUGAUUAAAAUUAAUAUUUA
rnacentral:rRNA from 1 species